UACGGGGGGGCAAGCGUUGUUCGGAAUUACUGGGCGUAAAGGGCUCGUAGGUGGCCAACUAAGUCAUACGUGAAAUCCCUCGGCUUAACCGGGGAACUGCGUCUGAUACUGGAUGGCUUGAGGUUGGGAGAGGGAUGCGGAAUUCCAGGUGUAGCGGUGAAAUGCGUAGAUAUCCGGAGGAACACCGGUGGCGAAGGCGGCAUCCUGGACCAAUUCUGACACUGAGGAGCGAAAGCCAGGGGAGCAAACGGG
rnacentral:rRNA from 1 species